rnacentral:rRNA from 1 species
UACGAACCGUGCGAACGUUGUUCGGAAUCACUGGGCUUAAAGGGCGCGUAGGCGGCUUGCCAAGUCAGGGGUGAAAUCUUUCGGCUCAACCGGAAAAGUGCCUUUGAUACUGGCAGGCUCGAGGGAGGUAGGGGUAUGUGGAACUUCCGGUGGAGCGGUGAAAUGCGUUGAUAUCGGAAGGAACGCCGGUGGCGAAGGCGGGUCUCUGGGCAUCUCCUGACGCUGAGGCGCGAAAGCGUGGGGAGCAAACGGG